UCUCUGAUUCAGCGGCGGACGGGUGAGUAAUGCCUAGGAAUCUGCCUGAUAGUGGGGGACAACGUUUCGAAAGGAACGCUAAUACCGCAUACGUCCUACGGGAGAAAGCAGGGGACCUUCGGGCCUUGCGCUAUCAGAUGAGCCUAGGUCGGAUUAGCUAGUUGGUGAGGUAACGGCUCACCAAGGCGACGAUCCGUAACUGGUCUGAGAGGAUGAUCAGUCACACUGGAACUGAGACACGGUCCAGACUCCUACGGGAGGCAGCAGUGGGGAAUAUUGGACAAUGGGCGAAAGCCUGAUCCAGCCAUGCCGCGUGUGUGAAGAAGGUCUUCGGAUUGUAAAGCACUUUAAGUUGGGAGGAAGGGCAUUAACCUAAUACGUUAGUGUUUUGACGUUACCGACAGAAUAAGCACCGGCUAACUUCGUGCCAGCAGCCGCGGUAAUACGAAGGGUGCAAGCGUUAAUCGGAAUUACUGGGCGUAAAGCGCGCGUAGGUGGUUUGUUAAGUUGAAUGUGAAAGCCCCGGGCUCAACCUGGGAACUGCAUCCAAAACUGGCAAGCUAGAGUAUGGCAGAGGGUGGUGGAAUUUCCUGUGUAGCG
rnacentral:rRNA from 1 species